AGAGUUUGAUCAUGGCUCAGAGCGAACGCUAGCGGCGGGCCUAACACAUGCAAGUCGAGCGCGUCACUUCGGUGACGAGCGGCGGACGGGUGAGUAACACGUAGGUAAUCUGCCCUGCGGUGGGGGAUAACCAGGGGAAACCUUGGCUAAUACCGCAUAUGGCCUUCGGGUCAAAGCCUUCGGGCGCCAGAGGAUGAGCCUGCGUCGCAUUACCUAGUUGGUAGGGUAAUGGCCUACCAAGGGGACGAUGCGUAGCUGGUCUGAGAGGAUGAUCAGCCACACUGGGACUGAGACACGGCCCAGACUCCUACGGGAGGCAGCAGUGGGGAAUAUUGCGCAAUGGGCGAAAGCCUGACGCAGCCACGCCGCGUGGGUGAUGAAGGCCUUCGGGUUGUAAAGCCCUGUCUGGAGGGACGAAGUUCUGACGGUACCUCCAAAGAAG
rnacentral:rRNA from 1 species